AUCUAGCUGACGUGUCCGAAAUAGGAUGAAGUGCGCGUCUUGUAU
rnacentral:hammerhead_ribozyme from 1 species